ACUCCUACGGGAGGCAGCAGUGAGGAAUAUUGGACAAUGGGCGGAAGCCUGAUCCAGCCAUGCCGCGUGCAGGAAGACUGCCCCUAUGGGUUGUAAACUGCUUUUUAUACAGGAAGAAUAAGUCCGACGUGUCGGAUGAUGACGGUACUGUAAGAAUAAGGAUCGGCUAACUCCGUGCCAGCAGCCGCGGUAAUACGGAGGAUUCGAGCGUUAUCCGGAAUCAUUGGGUUUUAAAGGGUUCGUAGGCGGGUUUGUAAGUCAGGGGUGAAAGUUUUACGGCUCAACCGUGAAAUUGCCUUUGAUACUGCAGAUCUUGAAUAUUUGUGAAGUAACUAGAAUAUGUGGUGUAGCGGUGAAAUGCAUAGAUAUCACAUGGAAUACCGAUUGCGAAGGCAGGUUACUAACAGAUUAUUGACGCUGAUGGACGAAAGCGUGGGUAGCGAACAGGAUUAGAUACCCUGGUAGGACAGUG
rnacentral:rRNA from 1 species